rnacentral:rRNA from 2 species
AGCAUCCGUGGCCGGUUGCAUAAGUUUUCGGUUAAAUCUAUGCGCUCAACGUAUAGGCCGCCGAAAAUACUGUGCAGCUAGGGAGUGGGAGAGGUACACGGUACUCAGUAGGAAGGGGUAAAAUCCUUUGAUCUAUUGAUGACCACCUGUGGCGAAGGCGGUGUACCAGAACACGUUCGACGGUGAGGGAUGAAAGCUGGGGGAGCAAACCGGAUUAGAUACCCGGGUAGUCCCAGCUGUAAACGAUGCAGACUCGGUGAUGCAUUGGCUUGUGGCCAAUGCAGUGCCGCAGGGAAGCCGUUAAGUCUGCCGCCUGGGAAGUACGUACGCAAGUAUGAAACUUAAAGGAAUUGGCGGGGGAGCACAAGCCGA